rnacentral:misc_RNA from 1 species
GAUGAAGAACGUAGUGAAAUGCGAUACGUAAUGUGAAUUGCAGAAUUCAGUGAAUCAUCGAAUCUUUGAACGCACAUUGCGCCCCCUGGUAUUCCGGGGGGCAUGCCUGUUCGAGCGUCAUUUCACCACUCAAGCCUCGCUUGGUAUUGGGCAUCGCGGUCCGCCGCGCGCCUCAAAUCGACCGGCUGGGUCUUCUGUCCCCUAAGCGUUGUGGAAACUAUUCGCUAAAGGGUGUUCGGGAGGCUACGCCGUAAAACAACCCCAUUUCUAAGGUUGACCUCGGAUCAGGUAGGGAUACCCGCUGAACUUAAGCAUAUCAAUAAGCGGAGGA